rnacentral:rRNA from 1 species
GACGAACGCUGGCGGCGUGCUUAACACAUGCAAGUCGAACGGAAAGGCCCUGCUUUUGUGGGGUGCUCGAGUGGCGAACGGGUGAGUAACACGUGAGUAACCUGCCCUUGACUUUGGGAUAACUUCAGGAAACUGGGGCUAAUACCGGAUAGGAGCUCCUGCUGCAUGGUGGGGGUUGGAAAGUUUCGGCGGUUGGGGAUGGACUCGCGGCUUAUCAGCUUGUUGGUGGGGUAGUGGCUUACCAAGGCUUUGACGGGUAGCCGGCCUGAGAGGGUGACCGGCCACAUUAGGACUGAGAUACGGCCCAGACUCCUACAUGAGGCAGCAGUGGGAAAUAUUGCACAAUGGGCGGAAGCCUGAUGCAGCAACGCCGCGUGCGGAAUGACGUCCUUCGGGUUGUAAACCGCUUUCGCCUGUGACGAAGCGUUAGUGACGGUAAUGAGUAAAGAAGCACCGGCUAACUACGUG